GCUCCAAUGGGUCAGUGGUGGACCGGUUUCGAAAUUUCACCCAUAUCCUUCGCUGUUUUCGAGGCAAAUGUGGGUUCGAUUCCCGCUUGGAGCG